UGGGAGACAUUUAUCCUGUGGAGAUACAAUGUCCAGCUCUGGACUCUGCUAUCUCUGACAUGCUCCAGCAGCCCAGGGCUCCUGUCUGAAGCUGGCACAUGGAUUUGAGCCUGGCUUCUUGCCCUGUCCCACUUGGAGGGCAGGCUGGGGACAGGGUGGAGGGAGGUGACAGUGUGCUGCUCCUUGGUGCCAGAGGAAAAGGGCAGAGGGAACUGGACAGGGAACAGUGUCUCCUGUGCUGGGACUGGAGCCCCAGCAUGCAAAGGGGAGAUCAAAAGCUGAUUUUGCCCUAAGUCCCUUCUCUUCUCUCACCAAAAUCAGGGAAGGAGCAAUCAGCCCUAGGGUGUCUCCUCUGGGAGAUGGGGCUGUCAGUGGGACAGGGGAGUGUUGGGACACCUGGAGAUGAAGCCCAUGGCAGCUGGAGGUGGCAUCUGACCCAGACUGAGCUUGGGACGAUGAUGCAGCGGUAACCCUUCAAUGCAGCCACCAGUGCCAGCCCAAUCCCUGCAUGGGGGGAGCAGAGGGAACUGGUUGGCACCAGAAUUUGGCAAGAGCAACGGAUGGGCGCCGCUGCUCGCGCUCCUCUCUGGAUGGAACCAAGGAGUGGCCACUGACCAGCCACGGCAGGGGAAUGGUCUCUGGGAACCUCUGAGAAUUCAAAAGCUUCCCAGCCUGAAAACACCCAGGGUUGCCCCAGCCCCUGAUGCUGUCUGCCUUGCCACAAGGAGACCUUCCAGGCACACCUGUGCAGGUGUGGGACCCUCACAGAAACCUCAGGAAUUUCAGCAAGGAGGCACCUCAGCAUCCCAGGAAGCCCAUGACCACCAGGAGGGGAGCUGAGGGGAGGAUGGAGCCAGAGCCCACCUCGUAACUCCAAAUGCAAAUCCCUGCUCCUCAGAAAUUCCACCCUGCCCAGUUCCCAGGCAGAGGGAGCAUCCCUGCCCUUCCCACCUG